AUGACGUCAAAUCAUCAUGCCCCUUUAUGUUCUGGGCUACACACGUGCUACAAUGGCCGGUACAGACGGAGGCGAAGCCGCGAGGCGGAGCAAAUCCGAAAAGGCCGGUCUCAGUUCGGAUUGCAGGCUGCAAUUCGCCUGCAUGAAGUCGGAAUCGCUAGUAAUCGCAGGUCAGCAUACUGCGGUGAAUACGUUCCCGGGCCUU
rnacentral:rRNA from 1 species